rnacentral:rRNA from 1 species
GACGAACGCUGGCGGCGUGCUUAACACAUGCAAGUCGAGCGGAGCGGCGAACGGGUGAGUAACGCGUGAGUAACUGCCCCCCUCUCUGGGAUAACAGUUGGAAACGGCUGCUAAUACCGGAUAGUGGGGGAUGACGCGCGUCCUAUCAGCUUGUUGGUGGGGUAGUGGCCUACCAAGGCUACGACGGGUAGCCGCCCGGAGCGGGCGACCGGCCACUCCGGGCUGAUAUACGGCCCAAACUCCUACGGUAGGCAGCAGUGGGGAAUAUUGCACACUGGGGGAAACCCUGAUGCAGCAACGCGCGUGCGGGAUGACGGCCUUCGGGUUGUAAACCGCUUUCAGCCAUGACGCGGUAGUGGCAGAAGAAGCACCGGCUAACUACGUGCCAGCAGCCGCGGUAAUUC